rnacentral:lncRNA from 1 species
GCCAAUUAUAAAAGGACUACACAACCAUUACAGAAGAAAAGUGUAACACAUCAGGGGCUCUCCCGGCUCUCCUCACUUGCACGCCAUGCCUGUGUCACAGGGAGGCCUGCAAGUGAGCCCCGACUCGCUGCAGGAGGGGCCCGGGCCUCCUGGUUCGUGAAGACAAAAAAUCAACAUUCUGAUUUCCUAACUACAUAAAAUGACGGUAAGAGCUCUUACCUAUAGACACGCAGAUAACAACUAUUACCUAUAGGUACUAGUAGUUCUAUUCUUUGGUAAUAAACUAAUAGAUAUGUACAGGGUACCAGAAAGAGACACCACCGAUCAUCUCACCACUGAGAUUAAGUCAAUGUCGUAUUGUCAUUUUCUGGUUGUUUGGUUUUCUUUCUUUUUUUCCCCCCCUUUUAGGGCCGAAAAUUCGGCAUAUGCAAGUUUCCAGGCCGGGGUCGAAUUGGAGCUGCAGCUACCGGCCUACACCACAGCCACAGCAACAUGGGAUCCGAGUCGUGUCUGUGACCUACACCACAGCUCACGGCAAUGCCACAUUCCCAACCCACUGAUCGAGGCCAGGGAUCGAACCCGCGUCCUCAUGGAUACUAGUUGCACUUGUUACCGCUGUGCCACAGUGGGAACUCCCAUUUUUCUUUCUUUUAAACAAAGUCCUGGCUCUCAGUGCUGGGGCUACGGGGAGGUUCCCUCCAACCCGAGGACAGGAGGCAGCUGCAGUCUCCUUGGGGAAGUCAGAACCCCCACCCUGCAGGUGACGGAACAGAGCAUGCUUGAGCAUGUACACACACACGCGCGCACAUGUGCAUACACAUGCACACAUACACAUGCACACACGUGUGCACGUGCACAGUGCACAUACACAAACACACACAUGUGCGCACACGUGCAUACAAACGCACACGCGUACACACAUGUGCACACACGCACACAUGACACACGCACACACAUGCACAUGAGCUGUGCCAUGAGGGUGCAGCCACGUAGUCCUUGGGGAAGCCCACCCACUGGGCCUGUUCCGCAGCCACGUCUACAAACACUUUGCAGACUGGCAGCAGGGGGUCCCUUGGGCUGAAGCGGGAACACGAUCAACAGUGAAGGUCAAAGGGGGCUUGGCGACAGCCAUAAAGCUGACCUUUU